rnacentral:rRNA from 1 species
GACAGAGGGUGCAAACGUUGUUCGGAAUUACUGGGCGUAAAGCGAGUGUAGGCGGUCUCCUAAGUCGGGUGUGAAAGCCCCGGGCUCAACCCGGGAAGUGCACUCGAAACUGGGAGGCUAGAGUAUCGGAGAGGUUGGUGGAAUUCUCGGUGUAGAGGUGAAAUUCGUAGAUAUUCGCAAGAACACCAGUGGCGAAGGCGGCUCACUGGCCCGGUACUGACGCUGAGGUGCGAAAGCGUGGGGAGCAAACAGG